rnacentral:rRNA from 1 species
UACAGAGGUCUCAAGCGUUGUUCGGAUUCAUUGGGCGUAAAGGGUGCGUAGGUGGCGCCGUAAGUCAGGUGUGAAAUUUCGGAGCUUAACUCCGAAACUGCAUUUGAUACUGCGGUGCUUGAGGACUGGAGAGGAGACUGGAAGUUUACGGUGUAGCAGUGAAAUGCGUAGAGAUCGUAAGGAAGACCAGUGGCGAAGGCGGGGUCUCUGGACAGUUCCUGACACUGAGGC